rnacentral:rRNA from 1 species
UACGUAGGGAGCAAGCGUUGUCCGGAUUUACUGGGUGUAAAGGGUGCGUAGGCGGCUUUGCAAGUCAGAAGUGAAAUCUAUGGGCUUAACCCAUAAACUGCUCUUGAAACUGCAGGGCUUGAGUGAAGUAGAGGUAGGCGGAAUUCCCGGUGUAGCGGUGAAAUGCGUAGAGAUCGGGAGGAACACCAGUGGCGAAGGCGGCCUACUGGGCUUUAACUGACGCUGAGGCACGAAAGCGUGGGUAGCAAACAGG